CCCUACCAGGCCAGGCGCCCUUAUCCUCUCCUUCUCCUCUCUUCUUCUCGUCUUAUCCGUCCCUCCCCCACACUCCUUCUCAUUGCCCGCUCAGAUCCGGCCAGCGGCGGCACCGACGAGAAGCUCACCGUGGAAACCACGAAGACCGAUGCCGAUUGACUCUUCCCCACGAUCCACGCUUUUCCUACCGAUCUGUCCAGCGCCCCUCCUCCCAUCGGUCAGCAUAGUCUUCCUCGCCUGCAGGUCCCAGCAAUGGCGUCUGUUCCAGUUUCGUCUAAGGUCCUGCUUGACGCUAUGUUAGAAAAGGUUGGCCUUCCAGCGGCCACCUACUCAGCAUCCCCAAAAGACGACACGCAUUUGCAGGUCACUGUUAGCUUUUACCCAAUCAAGAUCAGGCUGGGAAAGUCACCUGACAAAGUUUCCCUGUCUACCUCAGAGCACCAAGAUCUAGAGAUAGCUCAGGAUUACGUGGUUGCUGCAGUGAUUAAGUACAUGGAUGCUUACGAGGGUGUGGUUCCUAAAGAUUACCAUUAUGAUCAACUGAUGAAUGUGGAAAAGGCAAAUGUACUGUUGGGUCAGCAGCUUAAGGUGAUGGAAAAGAACGCUGCAUCUCUGAAAUAGAAGCUGAAAGAGAGCAUUACCACAAACAAGCUCCUGAGCAAAGGAUGGGAUGGAUCCCUGGACACAGAGCAGAGGAUCGUCAACAACCUUAAGCAUCUGGUUAACAGCAGGCUGACUCCAGGAUCUACUCCAGAUGACCUGGAGCUCAACAACGUUCUUCUCAAUGUAGAUGCCAGUUGCGAAUACCUUCAACAGUACACUGAUGAGGCCAUGGUCAACCUUCAAGAGACCGGUAUCUAUCCCUAUGGCCAGGAGCAAUCAACUGAUGAAGAUGAGGACCUGCCAACCCAAAGCGAUGAAAAUCCACCAUACGACCCAGAGAUGAGGACCUUCCUUGAUGAUGAACAGAUCUUUGACAGUGAAGGAUACUGCUCUGAUGACUACCGUGUUCUACCUGAAGAUCACUUCUAAUGGCCCUGCAAGAACAAUCAGAUCACCGCUAUCAUCGUUAGAGCCAGUCGUUGCUCCCAGCUAUCUAUAGCCCUAUGUAGUAUGUGUCCUAUCCAACCAUGACACUGUCGGUUCUUCCGAAUCUAUCUACUGGGCCUUAAUGGUCUGUAUAUAUGAACCUAAUGAUGUAAUAUGUCCUAUCGAACCAUGUCACUCUCGGUUAUGUUGGAUCUACUACUGGAACUUCGUACUA